rnacentral:rRNA from 1 species
UGGCGGACGGGUGAGUAACGCGUGGGUAACCUGCCCUGUACAGGGGGAUAACAGCUGGAAACGGCUGCUAAUACCGCAUAAGCGCACGAGGAGACAUCUCCUUGUGUGAAAAACUCCGGUGGUACAGGAUGGGCCCGCGUCUGAUUAGCUGGUUGGCAGGGUAACGGCCUACCAAGGCAACGAUCAGUAGCCGGCCUGAGAGGGUGAACGGCCACAUUGGGACUGAGACACGGCCCAAACUCCUACGGGAGGCAGCAUG